GCUAAAGCACAAAGAAAAACAACAGCAUAAGGUCAUAUAGACUCACCGCCAAGACAUUUUCUUCCAGAAUGAAUAUAUUGAUAAAAGACUAUCACUGAAAACGGAAUUGCAAAUACAUUCAAUUAUUGUCUAUUUCCAUAAAAAUAUAUACAGACACGUUUUGAAGCAUAGAUUGGUUCACGCGAGUCAUCAGGGUGCCCAACACAGCUGUUUAUUUCUACAAAUAGCAAUUGUGUACGUCGGGCUUAUUCUAUGGGGACAGUUGGACGCAGCCUCAAACCGCCACGACUUUCAUCAAAGCCAAGGUAUAACCGCGCGUUUGAUAUGGACCUGCUGCGCACAGGUCCCAGCUGCCACCAGGAAGUCGGUUAGGGAGGUUUUCUCCUGUUUAGUGCACUGAUUCUCAGAAGGAAGGCGACCGGCGGUGAAUAAGCGGCCGCACCGAGUGACAUCGAUGACGGAUCCGCUGUCACCCUCCCCGGUCACGAAUACCACAUGCUUCCUGUGGUCCCGGCCUCUUAGAGAAGCAGGAAGGACUUUUUGUGAGGUGGAUCCACAUUUUCAUCACAGAAUAACCAAAGGGACCUGAAACGGUGUGGUCAGGAUGCGUAUUCCUUGCCCCAUAGGCCUACCUGUGUUAUCAACGUGGUGCUGAACGCAACUGUAAAGGUAAACCAGGCUGCCAUCCUCUUCGCUUCUCCUGGGCAGCCGCGUCACCACCCAACGAAGCCCGUAUCACGGACAGCACAAACCCCCUUUUCCCCCAAAGAAUGUACCCCAAAGAAGAAGAAGAAAAAAUAACUGCUAGUAAUAAUAUACAGUGUAAAUCCUUCUUCACUCCUGGGGAGUUUUUUUCGAUGCUCUUGAUUUGUUGAUGUGUCAAAAACGCAAAAAAUAAAUAAAGCAAUA